rnacentral:tRNA from 1 species
UCUAACAUGGCAGAACAGUGCAAUAGAUUUAAGCUCUAUAUAGAAAGUUUAAACUUUUGUUAGAA